rnacentral:rRNA from 1 species
CUCCAACGAGCGCAAUGGGCGGAAGCCUGACGCAGCGACGCCGCGUGGGGGAUGACGGCCUUCGGGUUGUAAACCUCUUUCAGCAGGGACGAAGCGGAAGUGACGGUACCUGCAGAAGAAGCACCGGCCAACUACGUGCCAGCAGCCGCGGUAAUACGUAGGGUGCAAGCGUUGUCCGGAAUUAUUGGGCGUAAAGAGCUCGCAGGCGGUCUGUCACGUCGGCUGUGAAAACCCGAGGCUCAACCUCGGGCCUGCAGUCGAUACGGGCAAACUAGAGUGUUGCAGGGGAGACUGGAAUUCCUGGUGUAGCGGUGAAAUGCGCAGAUAUCAGGAGGAACACCGGUGGCGAAGGCGGGUCUCUGGGCAACAACUGACGCUGAGGAGC